CACAUACUCCUUCCGUCCGAAAAUACUUGUCAUCAAAAUGAAUAAAAGGUAUAUAUCUAGACGUAUUUUAGUUAUAAAUACAUUUUUUUCCAUUUUGAUAACAAGUAUUUUCGGACGGAGGGAGUACUCA
rfam:Triticum aestivum genome assembly, contig: Triticum_aestivum_CS42_TGACv1_scaffold_130535_2BL